rnacentral:rRNA from 1 species
UGGGGAAUUUUGGACAAUGGGGGAAACCCUGAUCCAGCCAUCCCGCGUGUGCGAUGAAGGCCUUCGGGUUGUAAAGCACUUUUGUCAGGGAAGAAAAGGUUUCGGAUAAUACCCGGAACUGAUGACGGUACCUGAAGAAUAAGCACCGGCUAACUACGUGCCAGCAGCCGCGGUAAUACGUAGGGUGCAAGCGUUAAUCGGAAUUACUGGGCGUAAAGCGUGCGCAGGCGGUUCGGAAAGAAAGAUGUGAAAUCCCAGGGCUCAACCUUGGAACUGCAUUUUUAACUACCGAACUAGAGUAUGUCAGAGGGGGGUGGAAUUCCACGUGUAGCAGUGAAAUGCGUAGAUAUGUGGAGGAACACCGAUGGCGAAGGCAGCCCCCUGGGAUAAUACUGACGCUCAUGCACGAAAGCGUGGGGAGCAAACAGG